AUCAGCGGAUACAUUUUUCUAAGCGUCACAACCCCCGCGAAAUGACUUGUCUCACUAUCAUGAUUAAAUCCGUUCGGUCUGAUCUCAUUUCAAAAGCCUAGAAGAGCUGCAUGAUUGAAUUGUUUUAUCCCCAUUCAAGUUAGCCAGAGGGCUAAACCGGAAAUAGCCGACUCGGCCAGCGAAAGUCACUAGUGCGCGUGCUCCAUGGACCGCACAAUGCAGGAGAGUCGGAUACUUUCUUACCGGAAGGCGAUUUUUUAUUGCUUCAUGCGCUACUGAGCAACUUCCAUAGGAAUGAACGGGGCCCCGCCUCCGACGCUGUAUCCAGUUCUCUUUAUACAUCCAUGAUCUAGAUGCUUCCUGGGCAGCUGCGCACAGAGAAGUGUCAAAUUCUUCAGUUACUGCAGGUCACACUACUCUGACAGGUGUGUUGCCAAAAGUAAGUAAGUUUGGGAAGAUUAAAAUAAGGCGUUUUAAUGUGAGAUUUACAUAAAUGACGAGAAGAGCUGGUGUGUUGCCAGAGAGAGAGAAAACUACUAAACUGCGCAGUGGAAAAAAACAUCGGGACUCCAGUGGGCAUUUCCCUCCAAAUUAAUGGAUUAUCCUGGGAUGAUUCUAUCUGUGAGUGGAGCUGCUUCGUCUGCCAUCCAGAUUGUCAUCGCUGCUCGUGGAUACCUUCAUCUCUGCGGGAUGCUGACAUGUGGAUGUUGCGCUGUUCCAAGGGGGCAGUAGGAACCAAAUCAAAGGGAACUGAACUAAGGAGCAUUCUAUUUUAUUUUAAUUUUUCCUGAGAUCUCAGAUUACUUUGUUCCUCUUAGGCCCAAAACAGACUUAAAAACUGACCACAACUGAUGUCAUAAAGAAACUCAAAGUUGACAAACAACGUUAAAGGAACAUUUGAAGUGAAGGAACCCAAGAUCAAAUAAGACUAAUCACCUUAAGGUAACUUAAGGGAAAACAAAGACUGUCACAAACCGAUAACUGAUAAUAAGUGCAUUUUGAUCCAACAGAGGAUACAUUUAAUUUGUGUAUCAAGCACUGAGAGUUGAAUACUUCUUAAUUUCUAAUUUACUGCAGUUUUGGUUGUAUAUUCAUUUGUUUUUAAUUUUAUUUUUUGUGGGAUAAUUGAGUUAAAGAUUUGCAUCAAACAAAGAAGUGUUUUUUCUAAAGCGAUGCUUUGCAUGUAUAAAAAGAAGCUAUCAGUAAAAUGAAAAAGGACAGAAUGCCUUUAUAAAUAUAUUUUAUAUUAUUUAUCCUAAGUCAGUGGUCAUGUGUUUUGUGUGGCCUGGAGGUCUUUUCUCCUUGUAGAGGUAUUAUAUUUUUUUUCUUUUGAAUUAGCCUGUUAUUUCUAUACUAUUUUUGAAUUUCAUGACGAAUUUGGUUUAGCUUCAGUUUAAUAGUAGUAAUAGUAGUUUGUUUUUAUUAGUUUUGCUUAUAUCACAGAUUGUUGGAGAGCUUAUAAAAGACUGUCACAAGAUGGUUCCAUCCAUUAUCAUGCCAACCAUAGGCGACACUUUGUGUAUCUACAGACAGGGUCUCAUACACAUGAUAUUGAGAGAGCCUGGUGUUCUUAUAAGGAGAACAUCUACCGCUUCAGGGGGAAGUGAAUGGCCACAGCUCUUAACAUGGUUCCCACGGAUCCUUAAAAAGUCUUAAAAGGCAUUGAAUUCAUUAAUCUAAAAUCAAGGCCUUAAUUGGCAUUAAAAUGUCUUAAAUCAA